rnacentral:rRNA from 1 species
GGUGAGCGGCGGACGGGUGAGUAACGCGUGGGAAUAUGCCCUUCUCUAAGGAAUAGCCUCGGGAAACUGAGAGUAAUACCUUAUACGCCCUACGGGGGAAAGAUUUAUCGGAGAAGGAUUAGCCCGCGUUAGAUUAGGUAGUUGGUGGGGUAAUGGCCUACCAAGCCUACGAUCUAUAGCUGGUUUGAGAGGAUGAUCAGCCACACUGGGACUGAGACACGGCCCAGACUCCUACGGGAGGCAGCAGUAGGGAAUCUUAGACAAUGGGGGAAACCCUGAUCUAGCCAUGCCGCGUGUGUGAUGAAGGCCUUAGGGUCGUAAAGCACUUUCGCCAGAGAUGAUAAUGACAGUAUCUGGUAAAGAAACCCCGGCUAACUCCGUGCCAGCAGCCGCGGUAAUACGGAGGGGGUUAGCGUUGUUCGGAAUUACUGGGCGUAAAGCGCACGUAGGCGGAUUAGUAAGUUAGAGGUGAAAUCCCA